GAUGAACGCUGGCGGCGUGCCUAACACAUGCAAGUCGAGCGAGAAUUAGGAAUGGAAGACUUCGGUUGGAAAUGACUAAGGAAAGCGGCGGACGGGUGAGUAACGCGUAGGCAACCUGCCCUUCACAGGGGGAUAGCCACUGGAAACGGUGAUUAAUACCCCAUAGUCAGAGCUACCACAUGGUAACUUUGGGAAAGAUUUAUCGGUGAAGGAUGGGCCUGCGUCUGAUUAGCUAGUUGGUAGGGUAAAGGCUUACCAAGGCAAUGAUCAGUAGCCGACCUAAGAGGGUGAACGGCCACACUGGAACUGAGAGACGGUCCAG
rnacentral:rRNA from 1 species